UAUCCGAAGCGGCCCGGAGCUCCCCCACUGUGUCGUGUCCUACAGCGUUCUACUGCACUACAGAAAUAAAGUGAGGGAGCGACUUUAGAGAGCGCUGCGAACCGUUCAAACAUACGGCCAUUGUUGUAUGGGCUAGCCAUAUAUAGGCGCUGUGUGUCUGCACUGCAGUUUUGUUGGUGGGAAAGUUGAACCUCGCGUCAGUUUUGUAGAGAACCUGAUAUUGACAUACUUUUUUUUGCCAUGUCCGAGGAGAUUGAAGGAACAAGGCCCGCCACCGAUGAGGCGACCCACGAGGAACAGCAGGAGAUUGAUGAUAACGUCAUCAGUCCAGAGAAGGCAGAGGAGGUGAAACUGAAGGCCAGGUACCCUCAUCUUGGAGCCAAGCCAGGGGGCUCUGACCUGCUCCGUAAACGGCUUCAGAAAGGGCAAAAGUUCUUUGACUCUGGGGACUACAACAUGGCCAAGGCUAAGGUGAAGAACAAGCAGCAGCUCCCUGCGGUGACGCCGGCUGAGAAGGCAGAGAUAACAGGGGACCACAUCCCCACACCCCAGGACAUCCCCCAGAGGAAGCCAUCUAUCGUGGCUAGCAAACUGGCUGGCUGAGGGGCUGAUGGAACUAGAAACGUUGGAACUUUUACCGGUUUUGUUCUGUUGUUACCAUUCCAUCGCUCGCUCCUCUUGUUCUCUCUCUCUCUCUCUCUGAGCCGGUCUCAAUUAGUUCCCUAUGUCUACCUGCUUGGCACUAACCCUUCAAUGCGUGCAGAUGUUGCUGGCCCUUACCACCAUAUUCCUCACAUAUAUGUUCAAACAUUGAAGGGUUAGGGCCAAGGGGAAAGGUUAGGGGGUAGGGAGCCAAGGAUUAGGGCCAAGGGGAAAGGUUAGGGGUUAGGGAGCCAAGGAUUAGGGCCAAGGGGAAAGGUUAAGGGUUAAGGAGCCAAGGAUUAGGGCCAAGGGGGAAAGGUUAGGGGGUAGGGAGCCAAGGAUUAGGGCCAAGGGGAAAGGUUAGGGGGUAGGGAGCCAAGUGUUAGGGCCAUGGGGAAGGGGUGUGGCCUUGGGGAAGGGUUAGG